rnacentral:rRNA from 1 species
UACGAAGGGUGCAAGCGUUGUUCGGAAUCAUUGGGCGUAAAGUGCGCGCAGGCGGAUUAAUAAGUCAGGUGUGAAAUCUCGGGGCUCAACCUCGAAACUGCGCCUGAAACUAUUAGUCUAGAAUGUCGGAGGGGGUAGGGGAAUUUCACGUGUAGGGGUAAAAUCCGUAGAGAUGUGAAGGAACACCGGUGGCGAAGGCGCCUACCUGGACGACUAUUGACGCUGAGGCGCGAAAGCGUGGGGAGCAAACAGG